rnacentral:rRNA from 1 species
GACGAACGCUGGCGGCGUGCUUAACACAUGCAAGUCGAACGGAAAGGCCCUGCUUUUGUGGGGUGCUCGACUGGCGAACGGGUGAGUCACACGUGAGUAACCUGCCCUUGACUUUGAGAUAACUUCAGGAAACUGGGGCUAAUACCGGAUAGGAGCUCCUGCUGCAUGGUGGUGGUUGGAAAGUUUCGGCGGUUGGGGAUGGACUCGCGGCUUAUCAGCUUGUUGGUGGGGUAGUGGCUUACCAAGGCUUGGACGGGUAGCCGGCCGGAGAGGGGGACCGGCCACAUGGGGACUGAGAAACGGCCCAGACUCCUACGGGAGGAAGCAGGGGGAAUUAUUGCACAAGGGGCGGAAGCCGGAUGCAGCAACGCCGCGGGCGGGAUGACGGCCUUCGGGUGUUAAACCGCUUUCGCCUGUGACGAAGCGUGAGUGACGGUAAUGGGUAAAGAAGCACCGGCUAACUACGUG